GCAGAGGCGUGGCUUGCCCGGCCUGCAGGCGCAGGCGCAGUAGGAACUGCGGCGACAGGGCGGGGCCCAUAGCUACAGAGCUUGCAAAGUCUGCCCAGAGAUUGGUUUCCAUGGUGAUUCGACAGCCUAUCAAGUUGACAUCAAAGUUAACCAGCACAUAAGAAGAAGCAUAUUCAGCCGUAAAAGGAAUGUGAUUCUGACUGGAGCUACACCAGGGGCAAACUCUGGAGACUGCUUAAGUGAUACUGGUACUUACGGAAGGACAGACUCGCUGGAGGCAUGGGGACUGCGGCAGGUGGGACCUGGACAACCUCCACACCACUGAGCAACAAACACCUCAACCUCACCACUGACAGCCGCCGUAAGAGAUCUUUUUGGCUAAUUAUAGCUUUGUCUCCCAGAAGAAGAGUCAUCUACAGAACUGAGGGCUGUGUAUUUCCAUUUUCAUGUUUGUUUUGAACAUGUUUUAAAAGAUGCCCAUACAUACUGAUGAUGAUUUGACCAGGCUAAAAAUAAACAGGCCUGGGACCAUAGCCCAGACGUACAUGUCACACAUCCCUGGGUUUGACCUCAGCAUAGCAAACAAACCAUGGCCAAACUCUUUAACAGUGUUUUAAUAUGAGACCUCACUGAAUGACCCAGACUGACCUUGAACUCAUUCUGUAGGAUAGGCAAGCCUUUAAGUUUAUAAUUCUCCUGCCUGGGUUCCAGAAAAGAUAGGAUUUCCAGAAAGGA